CAACAACAAAUUUCACAUAUGGUUUUAUCUGAUAAAAUGUCUAUUUAUUCUUACUAUAUUUGACCUGAUUAAACUCAUAAGAAACAUCUCAUUUACAGACAAAAACACAUAUAUCCAUUAUUUCUGCAAGUGCUAUAUGUAUCCAGAAACAAAAACGUUUACAAAAAUAAAAUGAGCUUUGUAGGAACAUAACUGCAUGUAUAAACACUAAAGUUUAUUAAAGUUUAGGCCUGUCAUUGCUAAGAAAUGCAAGAGAGUUUCACGUAUUCAGUGUCAUAUAGUAUUAGACACUUCCCCAGAGUAAACCGCCCCCCCCAAUUAAAGAACUUAGAAUCUUACUUUCACAGAGCCUACCACACAUGGGCUUGGUUUAGGCUGGGCAAAGUGUUCUGAGGCCAGCCUCAGAGCUCCAGAGUAGGGUGUAUUUAGAAGAUGUGGGAGGGCUUUCUUCAUGUUUGCUGUCUCUUUGCAGUUUUAGGCGUUGUGCUGUUUUUUCUAGGCACGUUACUACAUGGUUAAACAGUUAUAGCUACUCUUGGAGCGCUAAAAAGAAAACCUCAAAACAAACAGGACAAGAUGAAUCACUACCGUAGUGAGAACAUAACAGUAGUACAAAUGCAAAUAGAAUUCAAUCGAAUAAAGAAAGGGCGUUUGUUGUUUGCUUCAUGUAACCAUGUAGGGACAGGGCUUUUUUCUUUUAGCCUUUUAAAAUGUGCUAUUUCAGGCCAGUUAGGCUGACCCAUGCUCCAUUAUCAGCCACUCAGCACAAAAACCUCAAUAACUUUACCUUUAGGCACCUGUAUUGCCUGUUCCAAUCAUGUUAUUAAUACUAUGAUAUUAUGUUCUGAAAAAACAGAUGCACUGAGUUGUGGAACAAGCAGUGUUUUAUAUUGCCCCUCCCCCUCCCCCUUAUUGCAUCAUUACACAGAACUCUGCUGUUCCAUUGUUUCAAAUGGUUCCAAAACAAAAUAAGGGCUCCAAAGAACUGUACUUGACAGGGAUUGUGUACCUGGAUGAUGAAACAGUAAAUAUGCAACAUAGUAUUCAGCAGUAUUUGAGAAAAGGCCCAAGGUAAUUGUAAUUAUUUUGUCAGUCAUACAAAAAGUGAAUAGCUUAGUGCUUAGUGGCUCAGCAGGUUUAUUUUUGUACUUUCAAAAUUAGUAGGUCUCUACUGUUAAAAAGGGUAAUGUGCAGGGUGCAACAACUGAAACCAAAUAAAGAAGUGGGGAACUGUGCAGUGGUGUGUGUGUGUGUGUGUGUGUGUGUGUGUGUGUGUGUGUGUGUGUGUGUGUGUGUGUGUGUGUGUGUGUGUCAAAAAGCCCUGUUGCAUGGAACAAGUAUUUAUGUGAAUUAAAAGGGUAAUAUUUAAGAGAGUAAGUUCAAGAGACAGCACAGAUAUCUAUGUGCAGGCAAACAGAUAAGAACACUAUAGCAUAGCCAUGUAAGCUAUUUCAGGGUUUUCUAGCGUAUGUGAGCUAAAUUAGUCAUACAUGAGCCUUUUGUCUACACAAUAUGUCGAUUUAAGCUUGGGUGUGACUAAUAAUUAGGCUUUGUAAUGCCUGGAAUGGCUUAAACUGCUAUGCAAGGGGGGGGGGGGGGGGUGUCUUCUUAUUUUUUACCCUGGCUGUGUGUCAAGGCAAAACUGUAUAUUUUCUUAAAGAUAUUAGUACUCACAUUAUUCCUUUUUGUUGAAGGACAGUGCUGCAGUUAUUUCUUCUUUAGGCCAUAUAAAUAACCUAGCUGAAACAUAGUUUGAAAACAGUGGAGAAGGAAAGGAGAGGAUGCACCUUAAAGCCCUUUGUACAUAAUCAUGUACAUCUUUAAACAUUUUCUUUAAAUAUACACUACCAAGUAAGACAACUGACAGGUGUAAUGCACAACAUAUGCAUCACAGUUAAUAGGUGUUUUACAUGAAUGUGUACAUCAAGCAUCAUGGCUCCCUCUAGUGGUCUCGAGGGAGAGUAGAAACUUUAUUAAAUGACAAAAUGAAAACAAUGCAACUAUUUUAUUAUUAUUUCUUUCUUAGCAGACGCUUUUAUUCAGGGCGACUUACAAUUGUUACAGGAUAUCACAUUAUUUUAACAUACAAUUACCCAUUUAUACAGUUGGGUUUUUACUGGAGCAAUCUAGGUAAAGUACCUUGCUCAAGGGUGCAACAGCAGUGUCCCCCACCUGGGAUUGAACCCAUGACCCUCCAGUCAAGAGUCCAGAGCCCUAACCACUACUCCACACUGCUGCCCAAAUUAAAUAUAACAAUAAUGCCAAGACCUUACAUCUUAAGAGAAUUAAUGAGUAAACCAGGAGAUGACUGCCAACCCAAUUAAAACAAAAACCUUCCACUGUUCAUCAAAGGUGACAAAUAUAGAUUUUUAUGGCAUGAAGAAAUUGUAUAAUGUUGUGGGUUAAUUGUAUCAGAAUUGCAUAACCUGUGGCUGGGAAUUGCACAUAAUUCUAUCUAGCAGUAACAAUUGCUCAAUGUUAUUAUAUUUCUUGAACUGUGAAACAAGCACACAAACACAUAACAUAUUUAUUCUGAUCUCUAAGCCAAUCUGGACAGUAAAACUGUUUCUAUAAUUUUAUAUGCGUGACAUAAAGCUCCUGAACCAUACAGAAAUAUAUAGGGCAGCAGUGUGGAGUAGUGGUUAGGGCUCUGGACUCUUGACCGGAGGGUUGUGGGUUCAAUCCCCAGUGGGGAAACUGCUGCUGUACCUUUGAGCAAGGUACUUUACCUAGAUUGCUCCAGUAAAAACCAAACUGUAAAAUGGGUAAUUGUAUGUAAAAAUAAUGUGAUAUCUUGUAACAAUUGUAAGUCGCCCUGGAUAAGGGCGUCUGCUAAGAAAUAAAUAAUAAUAAUAAUAAUAACUGAGCUAGGAAAGAGCAUGUGCUUCUCUAUGGUCCAAAGCAGUUUCACAGGCUCAUCAAAAACACAUAGUCCCCUUAAGUUUAUAGACACUGGAGUCUAUCCCUUUUACAACUGACACAUGAUGAGCAGGAGAAUUGUCCUGUUUCCCAUAUUACACAUGUAUGUAAAAAGAAGUGGCUGCAGAACUGUGCAUGAUUGUGAAAUAUAAAUCUGAUAAGGUGCUAUUGAGGAUAGAGAUGAGGAGGCACUAUUCUGCAAAACCAGCACAGUCCAAGGUGUCAGGAGAUAGUGUGUCUGAAGCCCUUAAAAAUGCCAUUUGAAAGCAUAUUUUACAAUGCCAGUGUCGUCGUCCCUACCCACAUACUAAACAAUGCAGUAACACACUGGUACUGCAAUGGAUUACCACUCUGUACUGCUUCACAGCAUUGCAAGAAAAUAAAAAUAUAUUAAAAAAAUAUUACUCUUGUACCACUGAAGCGAAAUUAAAUAAACCCAAAACAACAACAAAACAUUGCCAUAAGGCUUUUAGAAAUGUGCACCAAAAAUAAAAUAUACCCAUGGGACCUCUCAGAAUGUAGUCCCACUUUACCGCUGAAUUAGACAUUACUUGGUGUGAAUCCCAUUUAUCGACUCAUUUCUGACGUUCAUGGGGUAAUUUGCUUUGAAGUUGAAGUUUACUUUUUUUUGGCUGUGUGUCAGGAAAAAAGCAGUUUAUCACAAUCAAAUAAUCAAUUAUGUGAAUGUGGUAUUUUCGCCUGUAACUAACAAGUGUUGCCUAAAGCUACCAUACUUUUUAAGCCUUUUUGUUUCAAUUACUAAAAUCACUAAACAAAGAUUAACCUAAUUUAGGCUUUCUUCAGUGUGUGGUGACACUCUGUCUUUCUAUUAGGUAAGAUGAUUUAUUAAAUAUAAGAAGCAUUUUAAAAAAAGCAAAGCUGCCAUCUUUUAAUACGUUUUGUGAAUAUUCUGUGCUGCUCAAGUAAAAAUAGAGGGGUAUUUUUUUUAACUAUUCAGUUCUAGAUUGACUUUUUAUGUUUUCUUUUUGUUAAUUCUUUUGCUAACUGCAGUAAGAAAAAUGCUCAGGCUGCUUGGACAUGUUUUAUGUGUGCCUUUGAAUGCCUGUGGGCUUAAACAAUUUGGUUGUUAAUAUAGGAGACUUUGCAUAUAAAUACCAAAGCAAUUAAAGCACUGCUGUAAAGAAAGUCUUGGAUGACAUGGAAAUGUGCAGCUGUGGGAUUCCUUUGUUCCUAUAUGCUCAAAUACUUAAGUAUCUGUUUGUGUGUUGGGGGGUGGGUUGGUGGAAUGGGGGCUGGGUUCAAAGGAUCAAAAUGCAGUUUCAUUCCAUUCUGUUUCCUUUGUUUGAUCAAGUUAAAACACUUUACAAAAAACUUUAGAAGUUCACAGAACAAAAGUAUACAAAAAGUUACUAUGCGCUUCAAGGAAAAAAAAAAAGAAAAGUUUGGGUCAUUCGAUAUGAUACAGGAUUCCCUGAGAUGUCAGAUUCAUUUCCAUGAAUCAUCCCGUCUCCCUCUUCACAAAGCUUUACCACUGGAACUCUUUUGAUUAUCUGUUUGCUAUUUGUGAAACUGUUCAACAUUGUUGUUGGCUUUUAAAACAUGUUUUAUUAGACUGUCAAAUUAAUUUGCUCCUGUUUCAUUUGCAAUGUCCAAUUAUAUUCUCUCUCCGAGGGAAAUCCCCACAAGAGUUCAGGAGAAAUGAAGGUCAGUGGGCGUCCUUGUGGGAUCCCCAGUGAAGACUGGCAAGAUGUGCUCCCCUGACUGUAUCACUCACUGUGCGUCGCAUGGCCUUGCCUUUAUCAGGCAGCUACUGAGGCUCCAUAUGUUGAAAGUGGAAUUAUGACAAGCUUCGCCAGAAUACUGGCAAACUAGCAGAUAACAUCAGAUGGUACAGGCCGCAAGGUUGAAAGGUGAUUUCUAACCUUUGUUAGAACUGGUGAAGAUUUUAAGGAGGGGGCUGGCUCGCACAAUCCUGGUCUUUUCUACUGCAGAGGCUUUUGGAGGAUGCAGCAGAUCUAAGCAAGGGGCUGAGCGACUGGAUUGUAAAUGUGAUGUUUUCCAUCUCUCUCCGACUCCACUGUCUCUUCUAAGGCAUGUACUUUGUGGAACACAAAGUGAGACUGAAAUACUGGCCAAUAGGAAAAACCCACCCAUGAGAUUCCCAGGUGGCUUAACUGGUAAAGGCACGAUCGUGUGAUGUGCAUGGUGAGUCAUGCAGACAGGGGAGCGCAGGUUCGUGUUCUGGCUGUGCCAAGUUGCCUUGGCAUCCCUCACUGCUCUAUAGUGGUCCCUACAAGCCAGGCAAGCAGUGGUAUCCUGAUGUCAAUAAUAAUUUUAAAGCAAUAAUUAUAUUAUACAUGGUAUGAAGCCUAAUACAAUAAACGGUUAUUCCCUUUACUAAUCUUUAAAAUCUUUAACAGCAAGUUUUUAGAUAGUUUCAUAAAUGGAUACACAACUGUGUACCACAGCAGUAAAGUUUUGCUGAAAUGACUAUAAAUAAGUCUCUAGGCUCGUUUUUUCAUCUCAUGCCAAGACAUGUUAAAAGAGGCACUGUAACAGACCGUCAGAACUCAAAAGGUUCAAAACCCACUGGCUGCCUGAACAUAACUAUGUAUUAGUAACUUUGCUUAUUUGACUGAUCUAACACUUCUAAAAGGAUGUUUAUCCUGCAGAGAACACAGGGGAUCAGGUAAGGGUGGUUUACAUGCACCAGUAAGAAACUGAACCGUGUAUAUUUUGGGGAGAAUUGUGUUUGAAAAAGGUUCUUGUUUACUCACUCUGCAAGAAUCCUUUUUGCAAAGGGUGUGCCCUUUUCUGAAGUAAAAGGAACCACAUAGAAAACUUACAAUUGCACUAAUGAAGGAAUUUCCAAAACGUUUGUUUUCUUAUUAUAUCUUUACCUCUGAAUUUAAGAUCUGAAGUUAUGGAUGACCAUCCUUUUUCUCUUUGUCCGUGGGUAGUACACAUGAUUAGAAUUGUGCAUACAAUUGUUUGUACAUUUGUGAGCCUGAAUACAAAGCAGACUGAAACGGCUGCAUGUUAUAAUUACAAGCUGAUUGAGUUCAGGCAAUUCUAGGAGACUUCUUGAGUAAACAUUAGAGUGCAUACAAUACAACCCACCCCACUCUGCGUUGAAACUGGAAUGCCAGCAGCAGCAAAGAAGAGAUGUGGCAUAGGUUCUUAUGAAACACACUGGCACCCAGUAUCAUAAGUGCAGGGUGCUUUCCUUUUGAACACUGUCUUAAUACAAACUCCACCUCCCUGCUACAUACUUUUUCCCUCUUUCUUCAGAAAAGGGAUUAGUCCGCUUCUUAUUGUUCACCCUGAGACAGGAAACAAUGGCCGAAACAUUUGAUCACCUGACCUAGUUGUCCUUUAAUUAAAACAUUAAGGGUCAUUUGCCCUCCAGAUCACCUGGAAAGGACAAAAAGAUAUGCUCUGCACUGUAUUGUACCCGUCAGGUCAGCUGUACUUGUUAAGAAUGCUGUGCCAUACAUAGUUUAAAACGUGUCUUUCAGGAGGUGUAUGUUACAGUACAGAGGACACAAUAUCCUUUUUCUUUCUCUGCUAUGAUAGUGAUAGAGACUAUGAAUGUGAUAAACUGCCAUAGCACAGAAGAAGAGACUAUACUCUGAUAGGACAGUACCACUUUUACUCAAUCAAAUCAUGCAUCAUGCUAUGAGGAAUAACUGAAUUUUAGCUAUGGAUUGUUACAAGUAUAAUGUGAUAGCCCAUUCCCCAAAUCACCCAUACUUUGAGAUGUCUUGCCUGAACCUGCCCCACAUAUUAUGAUUCCACUGAGAGGCUGAAAACCCUGCUGCUGUGAGUCUAUUUGUCUGUCAAACUGUGAAAGUGGUUGGACUCGCCUGAAAUUUAACACCUUUAGCGUCUUUGUCAAUCUGAAACCAAAACCCCAACGUGUUAUGCUCAGCUAAGGCAAUUCAUUGGAGGACCUUUGAGGAACUGAGACACGUGAACUUGAGAAGCAGCUGAGAACGCAGGCUACAUUUCCUGUUUCUUCUAAAAUUCACAUUCACAAAACCUUGUGUUUUGAAAUAAAAUAGCCCUCAUGAAUUAUUGGUACCGUGUACCAUGCUAAAAACACAAAACUUUGUCAACAAUACUAUGAAGUAUAUUAGAAAUCUUAAUCAAACCUUUCUUUACAUCUCUGGACUUUUAUGGAGGAAAUAAUGUGCACAAUAACUGCAAGAAAACAUUCGAUUUCCAGAUUCAAACAUGACUUCAUUUUCCUAUCGCUUGACACAGUUCCUUCACUAACACAAUCAAACUGUUGUUACGAGUCAGUGCAUUAAAAUCUCUAUUUCCAGUUGCAGAUCCCUGCUUGGCCACCCCUUUUACUUUGUGCUGUGAAACUGGGGAUUGCAAAUGUCUUGUGCAACUCUCCCCAGAAGAAUCGGAAAAUUCUCUUUCAGUUACAUUGCUCUCUUAUCAGCUGCAUGAAGUAGAUAACAGAGACUGGAAUGUGGAAGCCUCAGACACUAAACAUUGUUUAUUGACUUUGAUCAAACUUACUUUGAAUGUCUUUCUGACAGUUUAUGGCUCCACAGUAUUCUGAUUGACUGUGGGAGAAGCAUUAAAAAUGCACAGCAUUAUUAAUCAAAGCACCAUUUUCAUCCUUUGACUGAUCCGUUCUGCACCUUUAAAGAUUAGGCUUUUUGGAGACUGGUGUCUAACCCCACCCCCCAACAGAGCUAAUGCAUUGUGGGUGUGAUUCAGUUGUUACUUAAUUUAUGCAGUAGUACUAGAAACCUUUUAAAAAGUAAAUACACAAUCUGCAUGUAUUUUAGGGCUUGCACUUAACACCAGAAGGUAGACUCUGUACUGUACUACACAGCAGGUUGCUGUACUUGACUCUCUGUGCCUUGAGUAUCAGUGAAAUAUAUUAUUCUGCCCAACACUGCUCUGGGAACCUCACAACUGGAUGGACGGAAUUGGAGAGUGUGAUCCUUUAUUCAUCCCCCGAACAAGUAAAGAAUGUGUGCUUCCCCUUACUGCUAACACUGUUUAAAGUAGGCUACAAUAUUUUGGCCAAUCAAAAACACUGCACUGAUUUGUGGUGCUGGGGGUGGGGCAGUCAUCAUUGAAGAAAUCUAUUUUAGGGGUGAAAUGAAGAACAACUGUCCCACCCAGUGGUUCUGAGAAUGCGGUGUAUGGAUGAAAUAUGGGAUACCUCUCUUUGGAUCAGAGAAGCCUUGCAGAGCAGAUUGAAUGAUAAGCAAGCAGCUCUAUUGUAUGAUACUUUGACAGGUCAGUCAAAAUAGAUGACAUAUGCUGAGCAUUUCUUAAUAACACUAACAAUGGUGUUAAAUACUACAUUUGGCGUCUUUUACAGCUUCACAGACAAAUAGCUUCACUAAUUCAGGGUACCCAAACUGAAUCUUUAUGUGUACUGCAUGUUUAGGCAACACACCUCACAACAUGUUAGGGGUAUUAUUAUUCUCUGCAUUGACUAAAGAAGGACUAACAAGAUUGCAUUAUACAGCCCUGUUGGCACAUGUUUUGAUUUAAUGACUCAUUUUUGUCAUUAAUUAGCAAAACAACUCUGGGACAUCUGAGGCGGUAGAACAACCAGUCUGUGAACACAGUCUCACACUUAUUUCAAUACAUUUUAAACACAUUUUCUUUAACUCUUUACACUCUGCCCUAUUCUUUUUGUUUGCUAGCUCAUCGUAGGAACAUUCGAGAUCUACCGAUCUAUUGAAGCUGAGGCUUCAAUCUACUUAUCAAGCCUAGUUGUGACAUCAUAGAUGCCCAAAUAAGGAAAACACAAGCUCUCCGAGAGUUCAGUAGAGCGCGUAAAGAACACAGAUAAUUUGCUGACUGUUGUGAGAACUUGGCUGAGAAACAACCUGUAAAAUCAAAAGCUGGCCCUGCACGCAAGUCUCAGAAGUGCUUUUUGAGGAGUCAGAAAGUGAUAAUUCUGACAGUUUAUUGUCAUCUGACAAAGAGGAGGUGGUCUUUCAGGGGAUUUAUGCGUCACUGGAAUAAGACCCCACGUGAGACCUGCCUCAUGCCUCUGUGAAACUCACAGGCAGUGCGCAAAGAGCUGUCCUACAGAGGAAUGUGCAGACGUCACCGGCUUCAGACUCACCGACACCAGCAUCACAGCAGAGGGUAGAGACAAGGAAGAAAAGAGAGAAGGAAGAAAAUUGUACAGCUCCAACUUAGCGGAGGUUUAUACCUCGUCACACUUGUGGGCCGUAGCUGGAUGCCGUGAAAAGCUACAGCCAUUCAGAUUUAUUUUGUUUGUUUUUUUCAAGACACUGUCCAAAAACUUUGUGACAGUACAAACAAGCAGGGUCAGAAACAGGAAUUCUUUGGAACCUGCACCUCACUGACCCUGAUGAAGAUGAAGAUGAAGAAAAUGAGAGGAAGAGGGAUAACGCCUGACUACAAUGCCCUUUGUAAACUUCAUCUCAAUGGUCUUAUUGUUUCAUGCAAGGCAAUGUAUCACCCAAACCAACAUAUUUCAAUAGAUGAAAGAGUGCUUGCCACAAAAGCCAGAAUUGGAAUGAAACAAUAUUUAUAAAAGGAGAGGUGUCUGGAAGGGCUAGAUUAUGAUGUCAUUAUGUCCUUGAUUGACAGGUCUGAUAAAUCUGAUCAACUCAUUGAGUAUUACAAUGUCUUAAAAAAAAAAAAAGAAUUGUACAAAAAUAGUUUUUUCAUUGAAUUGAUAUUGUAACGGGAAAUAGUUUUAUCCUGCACAAAGAGAUCUGUGAGCAAUUUGGGAACAGACAGAUACCCAAAAGCUGUUUCGGAAGGCUUUGACUUUUGAACUGGCAGGUGAACUGCAUCCCGUUCAAACAACAUCAUUGGUUUCUACCUAUAAUGUGCAACACUUGCCAGAGUCAAUUGCAGAGGUAGAUGAGGCUUCUUCAGAGUAAAAGGCAAUACAAGCGAGACAGCACUGUGCUUACUGCAGUCAAACUGAAGGGAAGCGAGUCAAAAUGUGUAAAAACCUGCAAUUGCCUCUGUGCGUAGUUGUUGACAGGAAUUGUUUUUCUAGAUGGCACAGAAAAUAGUUAUUUGUGUUAUAAGCACUUAUGUAUAUAGUUAUUUAUUUCUUGAUAGUUAUUUUGUUAUUUAUGUUAUAAAAGACACUUUUGGUAAAAAAAAUCUGAAAAUCACUAACAAUGUUCGCACACUCAUAUUUUGGUCAUUUGUUGUGCUGUUGGGCUGAAAUUUUGUAUGGAACAUCCGAACAUAUUGGACUUUCUUUUCAAAUUGUCAGGAGCCUCCGUUAUACAUGUUCUCAUGGUUUCUAACCUAAUAAAGUGUUAAUUUUUGUAAA